rnacentral:rRNA from 1 species
AGAAUCAACGCUGGCGGCGUGCCUAACACAUGCAAGUCGAACGAGAAAGGGACUUCGGUCCUGAGUAAAGUGGCGCACGGGUGAGUAACACGUGACUAACCUACCCUUGAGUGGGGAAUAACUUCGAGAAAUCGAGGCUAAUUCCGCAUAAUACCUACGGGUCAAAGGAGCAAUUCGCUUAAGGAGGGGGUCGCGGCAGAUUAGCUAGUUGGCGGGGUAAUGGCCCACCAAGGCAGUGAUCUGUAUCCGGCCUGAGAGGGCGCACGGACACACUGGAACUGAAACACGGUCCAGACUCCUACGGGAGGCAGCAGUGGGGAAUUUUGCGCAAUGGGGGAAACCCUGACGCAGCAACGCCGCGUGGAGGAUGAAGUCUCUUGGGACGUAAACUCCUUUCGAUCGGGACGAUAAUGACGGUACCGAUAGAAGAAGCCCCGGCUAACUUCGUGCCAGCAGCCGC